rnacentral:piRNA from 1 species
UAGGUGGCCUUCCCUCCAGUCUCUGCUG